rnacentral:piRNA from 1 species
UAUGUCAAUUUAGUUGGUCUU